UACGGGGGGGGCAAGCGUUGUUCGGAAUUACUGGGCGUAAAGGGCUCGUAGGUGGCCAACUAAGUCAUACGUGAAAUCCCUCGGCUUAACCGGGGAACUGCGUCUGAUACUGGAUGGCUUGAGUUUGGGAGAGGGAUGCGGAAUUCCAGGUGUAGCGGUGAAAUGCGUAGAUAUCGGGAGGAACACCUAUUGCGAAGGCAGCUCGGUGGGACGUAACUGACGCUGAGACGCGAAAGCGUGGGGAGCAAACAGG
rnacentral:rRNA from 1 species